GUUUCGGAUCGUAAACUCUGUUGAUAGAGAAGAACGUGUGUGAGAGUGAAAGUUCAUGCAGUGACGGUAUCUAUCCAGAAAGGGACGGCUAACUACGUGCCAGCAGCCGCGGUAAUACGUAGGUUCGUAGUCCACGUGCCGGAUUAUGGGCGUAAAGCGAGCGCAGGCGGUUUGAUAAGUUGGAUGUCAAAGGCAAUGGCUCAACCAUUGUACGCAUCCAAAACUGUCAGACUUGAGUGCAGGAGAGGAGAGUGGAAUUCCAUGUGUAGCGGUGAAAUGCGUAGAUAUAUGGAGGAACACCAGUGGCGAAGGCGGCUCUCUGGCCUGUAACUGACGCUGAGGCUCGAAAGCGUGGGGAGCGAACAGGAUUAGAUACCCUGGUAGUCCACGCCGUAAACGAUGAGUGCUAAGUGUUGGAGGGUUUCCACCCUUCAGUGCUGCAGCAAACGCAUUAAGCACUCCGCCUGGGGAGUACGACCGCAAGGUUGAAACUCAAAGGAAUUGACGGGGGCCCGCACAAGCGGUGGAGCAUGUGGUUUAAUUCGAAGCAACGCGAAGAACCUUACCAGGUCUUGACAUCCUUCUGACCGCACUAGAGAUAGUGUUUCUCUUCGGAGCAGAAGUGACAGGUGGUGCAUGGUUGUCGUCAGCUCGUGUCGUGAGAUGUUGGGUUAAGUCCCGCAACGAGCGCAACCCUUAUGUUUAGUUACCAUCAUUGAGUUGGGGACUCUAGACAGACUGCCGGUGACAAACCGGAGGAAGGUGGGGAUGACGUCAAAUCAUCAUGCCCCUUAUGACCUGGGCUACACACGUGCUACAAUGGGGAGUACAACGAGCAGCGAACUAGUGAUAGUAAGCGAAUCUCUGAAAGCUCCUCUCAGUUCGGAUUGUAGGCUGCAACUCGCCUACAUGAAGCCGGAAUCGCUAGUAAUCGCGGAUCAGCACGCCGCGGUGAAUACGUUCCCGGGCCUUGUACACACCGCCCGUCACACCACGAGAGUUUGUAACACCCGAAGUCGGUGAGGUAACCUUUUAGGAGCCAGCCGCCGAAGGUGAUNAN
rnacentral:rRNA from 1 species